rnacentral:rRNA from 1 species
AUUGAACGCUGGCGGCAUGCCUUACACAUGCAAGUCGAACGGUAACAGGUCUUCGGAUGUUGACGAGUGGCGAACGGGUGAGUAAUACAUCGGAACGUGCCUAGUAGUGGGGGAUAACUACUCGAAAGAGUGGCUAAUACCGCAUGAGAUCUACGGAUGAAAGCAGGGGAUCGCAAGACCUUGUGCUACUAGAGCGGCCGAUGGCAGAUUAGGUAGUUGGUGGGAUAAAAGCUUACCAAGCCGACGAUCUGUAGCUGGUCUGAGAGGACGAUCAGCCACACUGGGACUGAGACACGGCCCAGACUCCUGCGGGAGGCAGCAGUGGGUAAUUUUGAACAAUGGGCGCAAGCCUGAUCCAGCAAUGCCGCGUGCAGGAUGAAGGCCUUCGGGUUGUAAACUGCUUUUGUACGGAACGAAAAGCCCCGGGUUAAUACCCUGGGGUCAUGACGGUACCGUAAGAAUAAGCACCGGCUAACUACGUGCCAGCCGCCGCCGUAA